AGGAGAAGCUUUCCCGAAAAAGGGCGCAAUGGGCGGUAAUGAGAUGUGGCAGCUGAGUGUGAAAUCCUGCCACUGGCCAGCGGCAACUGGAAACAAGGCCGAAAAUAGCUCACGCAGAAUCCCAGCUUCGGGACAGGGAUGGAAACACUUUUACCAAGAGGCUUUCUUUAAAGCCACGUAGAGCACUUGUGGAAAUGGUAUUGUGACGUUACUUUUAUUCCAAACAUUCAUUCCCAAAGGAACCCGGAGCCGCAGUAUCCUUCACUGUUGCUGAAGAAAAGGGACUGUGCUGGCAGGGCUGAGAAAGCUGCAUGAAGAGGUAUCAGCAGUGGCGACUUAGAAGGACCAGGGUCCAGGACACAUCUGCAGAAGGACACUUGGGACUGGAGUUAAGGCCCACUGGGGAAUCCAGCAAGAUCUCAUCUCAAGGUCCUUAAUUACAUCUACGAAGACUUUGUCCAAAUAAGAUUGCAUUCACAGAUUCCAGGGAUUUGGACAUGGAUAUAUCUUUGUGGGGACCAUCAUUCAACCCAAUAAGAAGAAUCUUAUUUCUCAACCUACGAUCAGCAAACCAAGUACAUUAGGACCUCACGGAGUACUGCACUCUAUCAUUUGCACAAUACUAGACUGGAAAUGUGGACUCAGGAGGUGUCAUCCAGCCACCAUGAGGACAACCUUGUGAUAUCAGUAAAGACCUCUAAGCUCUGACACCCAUAAUCAAGGAACCUGAUGAAAUGCCUGGUCUGACAGGAAGAUGCAGAGAAAGUUACGAAGUGGGACAUUAUUUACUAAGAGGACAAAUGGGCAAUAUAAUGAACUGCCAAAGGUGGAGGUGAAAUGUCGCAGCUUACUGGAAGUAAUGUAUCUUUCUGCUGGGGUAUCAGGAUAUGGUGAUGAUUACACUCCUUCAAGUUAUUUCCUAGGAAACCAUGUUGAAUUUGAAACCAUCUUGCAUGUGAAAGCCUGUGUGGUCUUCUCACAGAUCACAUUUUCAAAGAGGUCAGAAGUCAAUGUAUAUGUAGAAUUUCAGACACUGUACUGUUUACCACAGGGACUGCACUCAGAAGCCUAAACAUGUCACAGGCAAAGCUAUUAGACUAUCUGUUUAAAGAAAAUCAAUGUCCAGGCACUGUGGCUCAUGCCUGUAAUUCCAGCAUUUUGGGAGGCCAAGCCGAGCAAAUCACUUGAAGUCAGGAGUUCAAGACAAGCCUGGCCAACAUGGUGAAACCCUGUCCCUAUUAAACUACAAAAAUUAGUCGAGCAUGGUGGCAUAUGCCUGUAAUCCCAGCUACUUGGGAGGCUGAGUCAGGAGAAUCAUUUGAACUUGCGAGGUGGAGGUUGCAAUGAGCCGAGAUCAUGCCACUGCACUCCAGCCCAGAUGAGAGUGAGACUCCGUCUCAAAAAAAGCAAGCAAGAAAGAAAAUCAACUGGAAGAGGGUAAAGAGAAGCACAAUUUCUCUGCAACACUGGGGAGUGAAUUUGUACAGAAGACAUUCCAAAACAUUCAUGAAGUUGACUGAAAAAAAAAUAGAAAUACAAAUGUAAAAUUUAAAGGAGACCAUGAACCUAAGAAAACAGAUGCUAGGGAUUUUUGGGCUGAAUACAAAACCUCUGAAAAGAAAAAGAAAAAGAAUUUUUGCCAAAAGGCAUCCUUUCCACAUCUGAAGUAAAACCCACAAAUACACAUGAGUAAUAUCAUGCAGGUUAUGAAGUUCCUAUGCAAAACCAGCAAAUAUUUUAUAUACCAGAACUGCUGGAAUAGUUGUAGAUAUUCAUUUUUUAAAGAUCUGAUUCUAUAACAGCUCUGAAACACAAAGCUGGACUACAAAAGUGCAUUUCACCACAUAUAUCAGUUUUCUUGAACCCGCUCACUAUCAGAAGUGGCCAACUUUUAAAGUUCCAAAGUUAGUGAAGAGACUGUGUACCAGACACUAAAAUAUGUCCAUCUUCUUUGUACUGUAGCAAUGCCAUAUUUAAGAAAAAUAUGAAAACACAACCAAAAACCAAACGGGAUUGCAGAAUUUCCUGACAUUGUAUUGUAUUUCAGCAGCAGCCUCUGUAUUACAUACACACUGGAGUACCUUAAACGUGUCUUUUGCAUUGAAUUUCCCUUUUUCUUCCCAGAAGAAUAAAGAAGCACAUUUAUUACAGUAAA